AUUGAACGCUGGCGGCAUGCCUUACACAUGCCAGUCGAACGGCAGCAUGAUCUAGCUUGCUAGAUUGAUGGCGAGUGGCGAACGGGUGAGUAAUACAUCGGAACGUGCCCUGUAGUGGGGGAUAACUAGUCGAAAGAUUAGCUAAUACCGCAUACGACCUGAGGGUGAAAGUGGGGGACCGCAAGGCCUCAUGCUAUAGGAGCGGCCGAUGUCUGAUUAGCUAGUUGGUGAGGUAAAGGCUCACCAAGGCGACGAUCAGGAGCUGGUCUGAGAGGACGAUCAGCCACACUGGGACUGAGACACGGCCCAGACUCCUACGGGAGGCAGCAGUGGGGAAUUUUGGACAAUGGGCGAAAGCCUGAUCCAGCAAUGCCGCGUGUGUGAAGAAGGCCUUCGGGUUGUAAAGCACUUUUGUCCGGAAAGAAAUGGCUCUGGUUAAUACCUGGGGUCGAUGACGGUACCGGAAGAAUAAGGACCGGCUAACUACGUG
rnacentral:rRNA from 1 species